rnacentral:rRNA from 1 species
GACGAACGCUGGCGGCGUGCUUAACACAUGCAAGUCGAACGGAAAGGCCUGCUUUCCCUUGUGGAUUGCGGGUACUCGAGUGGCGAACGGGUGAGUAACACGUGAGUGAUCUGCCCCCAACUUGGGUAUAAGCCUGGGAAACUGGGUCUAAUUCCCGAUAGGACUGCAGGGUGGUGCCUGUGGUGGAAAACGAUUUUCUAGUGGUUGGGGAUGAGCUCGCGGCCUAUCAGCUUGUUGGUGGGGUAAUGGCCUACCAAGGCGGCGACGGGUAGCCGGCCUGGGAGGGUGGACGGCCACAUUGGGACUGCGAUACGGCCCAGACUCCUACGGGAGGCAGCAGUGGGGAAUAUUGCACAAUGGGCGGAAGCCUGAUGCAGCGACGCCGCGUGGGGGAUGACGGCCUUCGGGUUGUAAACUCCUUUCGACCGCGAGGAAGCCACCUGGUUGGAAGGGUGGUGACGGUAGUGGUAGAAGAAGCACCGGCUAACUACGUG